GACGAACGCUGGCGGCGUGCCUAAUACAUGCAAGUAGGACGCAGUUGCGAACGGGCGAGUAACGCGUAGGUCACUACCUCUUAUAGGGGUUUAACUAUUGGAAACGAUAGGUAAUACCUCAUACUCGUAGACCGACCUUCGUUGUAUUAGCUAAUAGGUAGGGUAAAGGCCUACCUAGGCAACGAUGCAUAGCCGACCUGGGAGGGUGAUCGGCCACACUGGGACUGAGACACGGCCCAGACUCCUACGGGAGGCAGCAGUAGGGAAUCUUCGGCAAUGGGGGGAACCCUGACCGAGCAACGCCGCGUGAGUGAAGAAGGUUUUCGGAUCGUAAAGCUCUGUUGUUAAGGAAGCGGUACUUAACCAGAAAGGGACGGCUAACUACGUGCCAGCAGCCGCGGUAAUAC
rnacentral:rRNA from 1 species